AUUGAACGCUGGCGGCAUGCUUUACACAUGCAAGUCGAACGGUAACAGGCCUUCGGGUGCUGACGAGUGGCGCACGGGUGAGUAAUGCAUCGGAACGUGCCCAGAGGUGGGGGAUAACGCAGCGAAAGCUGUGCUAAUUCCGCAUGUGAUCUGAGGAUGAAAGCGGGGGACCAGGCAGCAAUGUUUGGCCUCGCGCCUUUGGAGCGGCCGAUGUCAGAUUAGGUAGUUGGUGGGGUAAAGGCCUACCAAGCCGACGAUCUGUAGCUGGUCUGAGAGGACGACCAGCCACACUGGGACUGAGACACGGCCCAGACUCCUACGGGAGGCAGCAGUGGGGAAUUUUGGACAAUGGGCGCAAGCCUGAUCCAGCAAUGCCGCGUGCGGGAAGAAGGCCUUCGGGUUGUAAACCGCUUUUGUACGGAACGAAAAGGCUCUGGCUAAUACCUGGGGCUGAUGACGGUACCGUAAGAAUAAGCACCGGCUAACUACGUG
rnacentral:rRNA from 1 species